UUGAAGUCAGAUCAAGACUUUCCAAAAAUAGCAGGUGACCUGUAAUUUGAAAUUUCCAAAAAUGGAAAGAUUUUGGACCAACUUCAACUCAAGAUUACAUCAUCAAGAAAGCUUCAAAUGAAAUUUUGUCCUACAUGAAAGUUGAAGAUCUUUCUCUCCCAUUUCCAAAAAGUCAAAGAUCAUGAAUUUCUCAUGUGUGGUUAAG
rnacentral:lncRNA from 1 species